GAUGAACGCUGGCGGCGUGCCUAAUACAUGCAAGUCGAGCGAACGGACGAGGAGCUUGCUUCUCUGAUGUUAGCGGCGGACGGGUGAGUAACACGUGGAUAACCUACCUAUAAGACUGGGAUAACUUCGGGAAACCGGAGCUAAUACCGGAUAAUAUUUUGAACCGCAUGGGUCAAAAGUGAAAGACGGUCUUGCGGUCACUUAUAGAUGGAUCCGCGCUGCAUUAGCUAGUUGGUAAGGUAACGGGUUACCAAGGCAACGAGGCAUAGCCGACCUGUGAGGGUGAUCGGCGACACGGGAGGGGAGACAGCGUCCAGACGCCUACGGGAGGCAGCAGUCGGGAAUCGGCCGCAAUGGUCGAAAGCCUGACGGAGCAACGGCGCGUGAGUGAUGAAGGUCUCCGGAGCGUAAAACCCUGUUAUGAGGGAAGAACAUAUGUGUAAGGAAAUGUGCAGAGCGUGACGGUACUGAAUCAGAAAGCCACGGCUAACUACGUG
rnacentral:rRNA from 1 species